AGCGAACGCCGGCGGCAGGCCUAACACAUGCAAGUCGAACGGAUCCUUCGGGAUUAGUGGCGGACGGGUGAGUAACACGUGGGAACGUGCCCUUUGGUUCGGAACAACUCAGGGAAACUUGAGCUAAUACCGGAUGUGCCCUUCGGGGGAAAGAUUUAUCGUCAUUGGAGCGGCCCGCGUCUGAUUAGCUAGUUGGUGAGGUAAAGGCUCACCAAGGCGACGAUCAGUAGCUGGUCUGAGAGGAUGAUCAGCACAUUGGGACUGAGACACGGCCCAAACUCCUACGGGAGGCAGCAGUGGGGAAUCUUGCGCAAUGGGCGAAAGCCUGACGCAGCCAUGCCGCGUGAAUGAUGAAGGU
rnacentral:rRNA from 1 species